rnacentral:rRNA from 1 species
UUCGGUACAUCGGUGACAGGUGGUGCAUGGUUGUCGUCAGCUCGUGUCGUGAGAUGUUGGGUUAAGUCCCGCAACGAGCGCAACCCCUAUUGUUAGUUGCCAUCAUUCAGUUGGGCACUCUAGCGAGACUGCCGGUAAUAAACCGGAGGAAGGUGGGGAUGACGUCAAAUCAUCAUGCCCCUUAUGACCUGGGCUACACACGUGCUACAAUGGUUGGUACAACGAGUUGCGAGUCGGUGACGGCGAGCUAAUCUCUUAAAGCCAAUCUCAGUUCGGAUUGUAGGCUGCAACUCGCCUACAUGAAGUCGGAAUCGCUAGUAAUCGCGGAUCAGCACGCCGCGGUCGAAUACGUUCCCGGGCCUU